rnacentral:rRNA from 1 species
CUUUCACAGCUUACUUCUUACACUCUGAUUGAGACAGGGCGAACACCCGAUAGGGCUGUUCGCAUCAAAAUCAAAGGAGUGAGAGCUGGUGCAAAAACCAGAUAAGAUGAAGGAGUAAGAUGUGAAAGUACACGAGCGGCGGACGGCUGAGUAACGCGUAGGAACAUACCCUAAAGUGAGGAAUAAGCCCGGGAAACCGGGUCUAAUGCCGCAUGUGCUCUUCGGAGUAAAGCUUUAUGCGCUUUGGGAGUGGCCUGCGUAUGAUUAGCUUGUUGGUGAGGUAAAAGCUCACCAAGGCGACGAUCAUUAGCUGGUCUGAGAGGAUGAUCAGCCAGACUGGGACUGAGACACGGCCCAGACCCCUACGGGGGGCAGCAAUUAGGAAUCUUUCACAAUGGGGGCAACCCUGAUGGAGCAACGCCGCGUGCAGGAGGAAGGUCUUCGGAUUGUAAACUGCUUUUAUCUGUGAAGAUCAUGACGGUAGCAGAUGAAUAAGGACCGGCUAACUCCGUGCCAGCAGCCGCGGUCAUACGGAGGGUCCAAGCGUUAUCCGGAAUUACUGGGCGUAAAGAGUUGCGUAGGUGGCAAUGUAAGCAAAUAGUGAAAGCGUGCGGCUCAACCGCAUAAACAUUAUUUGAACUACAUAGCUUGAGUAUGGGAGAGGUAGAUGGAAUUUCUAGUGUAGGAGUGAAAUCCGUAGAUAUUAGAAGGAACACCGAUGGCGUAGGCAGUCUACUGGCCCAUUACUGACA